AGUCGAUGAUUAUCACUGAGUUGAUGAGACUCACACCCCUUUUAUUUCCCUUUUUGCAGAUAGGGAUCAGCCUAGCAUGUAGUCAGUGACGCAUUCGGUCCACUGUGAAUAGGUAAAGGCAUCUCCUAGCAUUUUAUUCUGAGUCGCUCCGCUGUUAAAGGUCAAGUCGUAGCAUUUUAUUUAUUAAGUUGUAAACAAAUUCUAAAUUUUUAUAUAAGCAUUAAUUUGGAGAUUAUAGAUUUUAAUACAUAUACUUACG
rnacentral:lncRNA from 1 species